GGGGGCGUAUCCCAACCGGCAGAGGAACGGGUCUCAAACACCCGCCAGUGUGGGUUCGAAUCCCACCGCCCCCA
rnacentral:tRNA from 1 species